AUGUACUUCGAGGGCAAGUGGGAGGACCAGCCAUUCGACAGGGGGCACACCGCGCACAAACCCUUCCGCCGGCUCGACCGCAGCCAAGUUAGCGUGCCGUUCAUGCAGAGCUGGAAGCCGCAAUUCGUUGCCGUGCACGACGGGUUCAAGGUGCUCAAACUCCGGUACAAGAUGGCGGCGCCAGAUCACGAGGGCACCACACGGGAACAUGCACCUCCUCCUCCUUUGGGCCAUGGUGACCAUGGCGUCCACGGCCAUGGUGCUCCCUACGCCCAUCGCCAUGUGAGUGCUGCAUACAACGAUGGGGGUCCGUCUCCAAACUAUCUUCCCACCGGACCCCCACCAUACUUCCGUCACCGUCGUCACGAUCCCCCUCCCUGGGCCGGCAGCCCCAUCUCAUACGCCCAUCCUAGGCCAUAUCCAUAUGGUGCACUUGGCAAUGCCUACCCAUCCCAGGGUGCUGCUCCGUGGGCGCACUCCGGCUCCGAUCGUACCGGGUACACGCAGUUCUCCAUGUGCAUCUUCCUUCCGGACGCCCAUGACGGCCUGUGGGGGCUGCUGGACACGAUGGCGUCCCGGCCUCCUGGGUUCCUGCACGACCACCUGCCGGAGCAGAGAAUCGCCCUCCGCGAGUUUCGGAUGCCAAAGUUCAAGCUGUCCUUCCACAGCAGCGUUGCCGCCGUCCUCAAGAAGCUUGGGCUUGAGCUCCCGUUCUGCCAGCAGGGCAACCUGUCGGACAUGGUGGAGGACGAUGGCUCUGGCUUGCCAAUAGUGGUGGAUGAUGUCAUCCACAAGGCCGUCGUCGAGGUAAACGAGGAAGGGACUGAAGCCGCCGCCGCCACCAUGGUCGUCCAGGGUCUUGGAUGCGCAAUGCCAUCACCUCCAACACCUCCACAGGUGGAUUUCAUCGCCGACCAUCCGUUUGCCUACUACAUAGUGGAGGAGGCGACCGGAGCAGUUGUCUUUGCGGGGCACGUCCUCGGCCCCUCCAAGGAGUAA
rnacentral:rRNA from 1 species